CCGCCCUCAGUGUACGUGUCACCGAGGGCCCGUGGCUGCUCCCUGGGCCCGGAUCGGCCAGCGGGGAGGCGGCAUGGAGGGUCGGGUCGUGCCGCCUCCACUCCGUUCCGGCUGCCCGGUGUCUGCCUCUGAGGCUGCCGAUGUCCCUGCGGCCCAGGUAUGUGGAGAGGGCAGUACCACGGCUGUCACGGUGCAAGAGUGUCUGGAGCUCCAGCUGCUGGAAGUGGAAAUGCUCCUUUCAAUGUUUCCCAAAAAAGGUGAAAUAAAUCUUGAUGAGGAUGCGGUGCCCUGCGUGCAGCGCUACCUGAGGAACACUGGUGGAGUUCUGCCCCCACAGCUCCAAUAUUCAAUUGCUGUUGAUGUAGGGGAGGCAAAGGUAAAAGUGGAACUGCAGGUCCAGCUGCCUCAUCUGUAUCCUCAUGUAGCUCCUCAGCUUUUUGCCAGAUCGAAUGCACUGCACAGACAGCAACAGCUGCAGCUCAACGCUGGGCUUGCCUCUUACAUCAGCUCUUUGGAUUCAGGUGAACUGUGUGUAUGUGAAGCUGUGCAGUGGGUGAAAGACAACAGCCUGCCUUACCUAGAAAACAGCAAGAGCUCUUCUGAAAGUGUUUCAGAAGAAACGGCAGCCAAAGAAACACUGCAUCGCAUGUGGAUCUACAGCCACCAUAUAUACAGGCAGGAACUGAGGAAAAAGAUUUUUGACUGUGCAAGGAAGUUAAAUCUGACUGGUUUCUGCUUAACAGGAAAACCCGGUGUCAUCUGUGUGGAGGGGCUCCAAAAAUACUGUGAAGAGUUCUGGCGUGAUAUUAGGUAUCCCAACUGGAAGCACAUUUCAUGCAAACAUGUUGAGAAUAUAGAAACAGAGGGAAGCAUCGAUAACAUUCGUCUGUUUCACACUUUUGAAGACCUUCAGUUUGAGGCACAUGGUGACUAUGGCCUGAGGAAUGACUAUCACAUGGAUCUUGGCCAGUUCCUGGAAUUCCUGAAACAACAUCAAAGUGGACACAUUUUUCAGCUUUUAUUUGGUGUGGAAGGCAAACUUGCAGACAAAUAAGAGACUAUGUAAGGAGUUCUAGAUUUGGACAGCAAGAGAUGACGCAAACAUUGCAAUAUUGUGCCUUAUAACUCCUGUGAAAAGGGAAGCUCCUCAGUGUAUGAGAAAAAGGGUUCAACUUGUUCAUCUUGGCUUCUGUUCUCAAGUGCCACAUACUUUUGAGAGAUGUUUACUUGCCUUCUGAAACAUUUCUCACUAUAAGCCAUGCCUCAAAAUGCUUGCAAGGUGAUGAAAAUCCCACACUUCAGUAUCCUGAAUUACACACUUCUGUCUCUUCAUCUAUGGGUGCUGCACAUUUCUGACCUCUGGUUAACUCCUAGGUACAAUUAUGGGAUAGCAAAGUAGCUGCAGCCACAGAUGAACAUUGUUCCCAAUACCAAAGGAAAUCUCACUGCUACACACAACUCAGUGCAUGCAGUGUCUUUUCCUGCUCCAUGAAGAAUCUGCUUUCACUUCGUUCCACUAAUCCAUGAAAUGCAAAGGCUUGUGUCCAACCACAGGACAAAGUUUUGCUUUUAAAUAAAGGGCAGAGGGGUUUGUGUGGGAGAAGGCCCACAUCCUCUUACAUGCUUUGAGCAGUACCUGUACAAUUAUAUAGCUAAUAAUAGCACUGGUUUUGCAGUCCUCCUAUCACCUCGUUACAGCCUGGUUAUGGUAAUAGCAAUUUUUCAGCUGUGCAGCUCAUGGCGUUUUAUAUGUACAGUGUUUGGCCAAGCACUUUGGAAAUGAACACGUGUAAGCACCACGCUGAAAUGCAGAGGACUGCAGUACUUCUGGUUGCUCAAAAUGAGGAUGUGCAUUCCUUCACGCUGUGGUAAGUAUGCAUGAUAGUAAGUUAAGUGAUAUAAUAGUAAGAUUGUCAGUUUGUAUGAUCAUAACUUUGGCCAAAAGCACAGUAAGGCAAAAACUGCUCACAGAUUCCUGUUAUGCAACGAGGGAAAAGUGCCUCUCCUCUGUGAAUUCUGGACCUGCAGCCUGCAGCUGUGGCAGUGCUGACAGGAUGGAUAAAUAAAGUUAAUUUUUGGUUUUCUAGAGAUAAUCUUUUAGCGUGAUAGCAGAAAAAAAUGUUCAAGUACAGUUUGUUUCCAGAACUGUCUAGAAAGUAUGCUACAUUUUCCUUGGAGUGAUAAUUCUGUAACAACGAACAAUUUGGGCUUUUUUUUUAGAACAUUCACAUGUGAACAUAGAUUCCAACACCAUCAUGACUCAAAAACAAUGAAAAAAUUUGCAUUCAGUCCUCUUGGGCUGUUGCCAAACGAUAAACUCUUUCCUUCAAAGUAGCAAAACAAACUAGUUUAGAAAUAGGCCUUUGCCCUGCGAUUUCAACCAGAAAGAAACAGGAAAGGCACCACUGGCAGAGGUCAGAAAGUCUGUGCAGGAGGAUGGUCAAACCAUUAGGAGUCAGAGGUAUCUGAAGGGUUUUCUAAGGACAAGCUGUGUUCAUUUUUUCUAAAGGAGGAAGCUCUGGAUAGUACAAUCCAGUUGUGCACCCUCCUAAGGAAAACCACAGGCUCAGGAAAAUUAUUUCUGAAAAUGCUAAUUAUGAAUCCAGAAUAAUGCAGGUCAUGAGCACUGUGCCUGAAUGCUUCCAGUAGGAUUUGCAGAGGGAAUAACUUUUUUAUCAAAGAAUAAGGGUCACUGUCAGAUACCACUUUCAAUGCCUGAUUAGCAGAUGAGAAAGGGUUAAAAAAAAAAAAAAGGAAGGCUAUAUCUUUAAUUGAAAUUAGUCUGUAGAUGAAUGUAUUCAGCAUACUGAAUUAUCAACAAACUUGUAAAAACUGUUUUAAAGACCACAGUGAAGAAACUGAGCUAAGUAGUUCAUUCAAACAAUAGUAAGCAAAAUAUUCAGUAAAAUGAAAGAAUAAUAAAAUAUGUUUGUUUCCCCCAUAAUGAUAGAAUCCUGUAAUAAUUAUUCAUCUAGCAGACUGUCUGUAUAAUUUGGGAGUUUGUAACAGUAAUAUUUCUAUUGCAUGAUGCAUGUUUAUAAAGACAUUUGCUUUAAAUACUACAGGAAUUAACUAAUUUAAUACACAAACAACCUACUUCUAGCCAGGUGACUGAUGUCUGUAAGAAAAUACUUAGUCAAAAAGAAGCUUGUUCAUAAUACUUUGAUGCUCUCUUUUUAUCAAGAACAGAAUCCAAGAACUUCCAUGAGCUUUAGGCCAAAUAAUUGCAUCAUAUCAGAACAGGCAUUGUCUUGGUGGGGGAAUGAAAUUUUUUGAUCAUUUGCAGGGCUUUAGGAAUGUUAAAAUAUUCUAAUUAGAUGUAAGUAAAAGGUUAAGUUGUUGUUGUUAUAAAGUUCUCAUUAUUCCACACAGGAGUGAUCAAUGAGGAGGGAAAUAGUCUAAGCCUACCACUGGUUAAAAGUUUUUUGUUUUUAAGAAAUUAUAGCUUGAGAAUUUGUGCAAAUUACACCGUGACCUGUGAUGGAUUAAACAGUCAUCACAUGCAUCUCUUAAUUUUCCAUGGUGCUGUUUGUCUGCUUAGGUUCCCAUUGGCAUUUGUGACAAAACACUAAAUU